AUAUUAAUUUACGUAAAAAUGGUAAAUUUUUUAUCUAAAAUUUAUUCUAUGUAUUUUGUCAGUGAAAAUAAUACAGUCGUUUUAAGAAAGACUAUAGCUUUUUCAUUUAGUCUGAGUUUUUAAUUUUUUUAAGAAAAAUCUUUGAUUUGUAAAAAAGCUUUUGUAUAAUCGAAUUAUUUUGAAAUCUAAUGUCAGUUAUAACUACAUAGUAAUUAUAUUAGAAAAACAAAACAUAAUUUGAAUUUUUUAAAAUAAUAAAAAAAAAAUUGAUUUUAGCAUUUUCAAAAUGUUAUCUUUUGUUGUACUAUUUGUUAUGUUACCCUUUCAGCUUAUAUUCCAAUUAUACAGGAUAUAUAAAAUAUCCACCUAGAUAUAAAUUUUGGUUUUAUAGUACUUCGCUUUCAGUUUAUUGUUUAGUUAACAACAUAAUUAAAACGGUUGUGCAAAAUUUCUAUUGUUUUUGGUUUAGAUCAAUGGUCGAAAAUAAUUUUAUGAGACUUGAUACACAUAAAAAGCAAGAUAUUUUAAUUAACAGUAAAGUAUAUAAUUAGUAUAUAAACUUAUUAUAACUUAGUAUACAAUUUAAAUAUAUUUUAUAAUUUAAUACAUUUUUUCUCUGACCAUUUGUCAAUUUAUUUUUACUGCAUAUUAAAUUUAAAUAACAAUAUUCAACGUUAUUGCUACGACGCUGCAGUUUAGUCUAUUCGCUACCAGAUGGCUACUCUGGUACUCGUCUGUCACUAAUCGAUAUCGCUGGUACGGUACCCAAGUGCAAAAGCCCGAACGUAAGAGGAUUGUAUCAAAUAGUACCCUCGGCCAUUUCGUCCCACUGACAACAUACGAAGUGGAGGGAAGAAUCGUCUACCGUCGCCGUGGGGCCAUAAGAGAACUACAACUCCCACUGACGGGUUAUGCGGUGAAGGGUAGAAGAGAAUUUCGUGACUGGAACGAGGAGGGACGGCAGUGGAAGAACGACUCUACCAGGUCUGACGCCGUCAGUCUCCGUCCUACGCAUCCAGCGCAUGACGUCGUGUGCUUUGUUUCUGUCACGUCUAGCGUGUACAGUGUUAUCUCUUCUUUUUUUACCGUCGUAUUAUUUUUACAGUUUUGUCAAUUAUUUUUAUACUAUUGCAGAAUGUCAUCGUUAUUAGCAAACUAGCGAAAAGUUUAUGUUUAGCAUUAGAAUUUAGUACAGUGUGUCUUUUAAAAUAUAAGAGAAGUACUUGUAAAAUGCUGCUGUGAAUGGAGUAAUACAGCGGCAAUAUCGACCACAUUUCAUGUGAAAAUUAUGGAUAAUUAGUAUUUUAGUUUAUCAAAAACUGCGAUGGCAUCGUGAAAAUGAGUUUUGACAAUUUGCCAUGAACAUGAAUAAAUUUAUUGUUAAGCAUAAAUAUUUAAAAUCUGAACACACGCUGAGAUUCAUGCCGACAUUACAUGUAUACCAAAUGCAAAAAUUAAUUACAAAAAUUAAAUAUAUGCCAAUUAGUUUACAGACUGAUUGAUUUGUGAUUAAUCUCUAAAUAUCUCUUAGAAAAAUAAUAACUUUAAGAAUUUUUUUCUUGAUUUUGUUAAAUAGUAUUUAUUUAUCGAAAUAUUAAUAGUUAAAUAGUUUUUAGGGGACUUAUCUGUUAUAAGGUCUGAUUUAAAUUUUUUACAUACAUUUAUAACUUAAUAACAAAAAAAUUAUCCAACUAAAGAAAUAACUGUUAAUCGAUGCAAAUUUUUAAGUCAGUAUUUUUGAAGUUAUUAACACUUUAAUUAAUAUAGACUGUAAGCGAGGUGAGGAUUAUUUUAUUUUUAUCAUUACCCACCAUACUGCUGUACUCCUCUUGAUACUUAAGUAUAAAAAUGUUUAAAACUUUUGAACAUUUGUUUAAAAUUUGUUAUUGACCAGUUUUUUCUUAUUUGGAUUAAUUUUAAACAUUUAAGCUAAUAAAAUAUGUAUAUUGUCAUUAAAACUUAAAGUUGAUACUCUAUAAGACCUACAACAUAUGUAAUCAAUUAUUUAUCAUUCUACAUAUUUAAA